rnacentral:rRNA from 1 species
UACGUAGGCUGCAGGCGUUAAUCGGAAUUACUGGGCGUAAAGCGUGCGCAGGCGGUUUGCUAAGACAGGUGUGAAAUCCCCGGGCUUAACCUGGGAACUGCGCUUGUAACUGGCAAGCUAGAGUGUGGCAGAGGGGGGUGGAAUUCCACGUGUAGCAGUGAAAUGCGUAGAGAUGUGGAGGAACACCGAUGGCGAAGGCAGCCCCCUGGGCUAACACUGACGCUCAUGCACGAAAGCGUGGGGAGCAAACAGG